rfam:Salmo salar isolate Sally breed double haploid chromosome ssa09, whole genome shotgun sequence.
UUCAACUGUCGUUGUAAGUCGCUCUGGAUAAGAGCGUCUGCUAAAUGACGUAAA